GGCUUGGAAUCUAUUGAUAUCUGUGUUUCAGGGAUACGAGGUUGGAAGGAUUUGGCUGCAUGAGGCUGCCUGUUUGAGAUGGAAGCUUCAUGGACGUGGAGCCAGUUGAAUGCAGUCUUGGAACAAAGAGGGUUCAAAAUCUGAUUUUGGAUAUGCAUGGGCACUUCCAAGUCUGUCGCUCCGUCCGUGUAUGAGUUGGAGAUGAUAAUGAUCUCAAAGCAAGUAUAACAUCGGCGACUUCCAACUGGGUGUACAAGAAUUAAUUCUUCAAGAUCAUUUCAACCGCAUCAAUCAACUCGGUACAUCAAUGAAGUCGGAGACGAGCCUUGGUUAGCAGCCAGAAUCCUAGGGUACUCUCUCAACUACUGUC